rnacentral:lncRNA from 1 species
UGUGUGUGCCCAGGAAGUUGCAUGGACCCUCAGCUAUCGCGAAGUUUGAUCUUGUGGAGGGCGAGAAUAUCGAUUGAUGGAUGUAUGGAGCUUGUAGUGCCACUUGGUCCUAACUGGUAAGUUGGUGGUGUGGAGUGUUGUCUCAUUAGUUGUUUGUUUUGGCACUAUAUAGUAGUCAACUCCAGUAGCACCCAUACUUAACUUUUUAAUUCUAUUUGGUUUUUCUUUUAUUUAUGGGUUGAGGCGGUAGUUGAUCUUUGUUCUCUCACUCCACCCAGGUUGUGGUGUGGUUCAGCACCGGCUACAUCACCAUAAAGGACAUGGUGGUCACCGGCAUGCCCAUCAAGAUCGUCGGCGUUGCCGCUCUCAUGGUCCUGCUAUUUUCUGAAGUCAUGUGUGCUUGCACUUAUGAUGCAUUGACUCAAGAAAUAGAAGAGAUUUUUCUAUUUUCUGAAGUCAAUCUCAAUUGUUCACCUAUCCUUUUAUACAUGAGUAGAAGUCCUAAGAAGAGAAAACAAACUAUGGUACCUAAACAGUAGUAGAUAUCAAUAUCAAUAUCUGAGCUAUAACGAUUACUUGAUCUUUAUGGCAUGGACGAUGUGUUUGACAACACUAUUAACUUGUAAGGUCUGCUUGUUCUUGCUAUAUAUUGCAUGUGCUAGAUAGCUCCUAUCCAAACUUGUAGAAGUCUGCG